GGGUGAGUAACACGUGAGAAUCUAGCCUGAAGUGGGGGAUAACCUAUGGAAACAUAGGAUAAUACCGCAUAUGCUGAAAGGUGAAAGAGGCUUCGGCCUCGCUUUAGGGUGAGCUUGCGGUCCAUUAGUUAGUUGGUAAGGUAAUGGCUUACCAAGACCGCGAUGGAUAGCCGGCCUGAGAGGGUAUCGGCCACAUUGGGACUGAGACACGGCCCAGACUCCUACGGGAGGCAGCAGCUAAGAAUAUUCCGCAAUGGGAGAAAUCCUGACGGAGCGACGCCGCGUGAACGAUGAAGGCAGAAAUGUUGUAAAGUUCUUUUUUAUGGGAAGAAUAAUGAUAGUAGGUAAUGAUUAUCAGAUGACGGUACCAUAAGAAUAAGCUCCGGCUAACUACGUGCCAGCAGCCGCGGUAAUACGUAGGGGGCAAGCGUUGUUCGGAUUUAUUGGGCGUAAAGGGCAUGUAGGCGGUUAUAUAAGUGUGAAUUUAAAGGCUAAAGCUUAACUUUAUGUUUGGUUUGCAAACUGUAUAACUAGAGUACAGAAGGGGAGACUGGAAUUCCACGUGUAGGGGUGAAAUCUGUAGAGAUGUGGAAGAAUACCGGUGGCGAAGGCGAGUCUCUGGUCUGUAACUGACGCUAAUAUGCGAAAGUGUGGGGAGCAAACAGGAUUAGAUGCCCUGGUAGUCCACACUGUAAACGUUGCACACUAGGUGUUAGUAGUUUGUUCUACUAGUGCCGUAGCUAACGCAUUAAGUGUGCCGCCUGGGGAGUAUGCUCGCAAGGGUGAAACUCAAAGGAAUUGACGGGGGCCCGCACAAGCGGUGGAGCAUGUGGUUUAAUUCGACGAUACGCGAAAAACCUUACCAGGACUUGACAUUUAAGUGAUCGAUACAGAGAUGUGUCUUCCCUCCGGGGCGCUUAAACAGGUGCUGCAUGGCUGUCGUCAGCUCGUGUUGUGAGAUGUUGGGUUAAGUCCCGCAACGAGCGCAACCCCUACUGUUAGUUGCCAUCAGGUUAAGCUGGGCACUCUAGCAGAACUGCCGGUGACAAACCGGAGGAAGGUGGGGAUGACGUCAAGUCCUCAUGGCCCUUAUGUCCUGGGCUACACACGUGCUACAAUGGGCUGUACAAAGGGUUGCAAGACCGCGAGGUGGAGCCAAUCCCAAAAAGCAGUCCUUAGUUCGGAUUGGAGUCUGCAACUCGACUCCAUGAAGUUGGAAUCGCUAGUAAUCGCAGAUCAGAAUGCUGCGGUGAAUACGUUCCCGGGCCUUGUACACACCGCCCGUCACACCAUCCGAGUCGAGGACACCCAAAGUUAUUACUCUAACCGCAAGGAGGAGGGUACCUAAGGUGUGUUUGGUAAGGAGGGUGAAGUCGGAACAAGGUA
rnacentral:rRNA from 1 species